GAUGAACGCUAGCGGCAGGCUUAACACAUGCAAGUCGAGGGCAGCAUAAACAUUGCUUGCAAUGUUUGAUGGCGACCGGCGCACGGGUGCGUAACGCGUAUGUAACCUACCUCAAACAGGGGCAUAACACUGAGAAAUUGGUACUAAUUCCCCAUAACACUUUGGGAGGCAUCUUCUGAAGUUGAAAGUUCCGGCGGUUUGAGAUGGACAUGCGUUGUAUUAGCUAGUUGGUGGGUAACGGCUCACCAAGGCGACGAUACAUAGGGGACUGAGAGGUUAACCCCCACAUUGGUACUGAGACACGGACCAAACUCCUACGGGAGGCAGCAGUGAGGAAUAUUAGGGCAAUGGGCGCAAGGCCUGACCCAGCAAUGCCG
rnacentral:rRNA from 1 species